rnacentral:lncRNA from 1 species
AUCACUAUCACAAAACACUACAGCUACAUACCUACAAGCAUGCGGGAGAUAACGUGUGAGAAUAAAAAGAAGAAAAAUGAGAGAAACCUACAAGCAUGCGGGAGAUAACGCGUGAGUGUAAAAAGAAGAAAAAUGAGAGAAGACCAAUCGGCUCCUCCCUUCAAAUUCAGCCAACCACCAUCUCCAAUCCUUUGACUUUACAGCCAACAACUCACUUAUUAAAGCACCAGCCUAACACUUCAUUCCUUCUCUCAUACACCAACCACCAGAAAGGGAGAUGAAGAGAAGUUAAUUCCUGCUGCCAACUGCCAAGUAUCGAGAGGUGAGUCUUGGCCUAAGUUUCUUCAUUUCAUACUUGGUUCUUUCUGCAUUUGUUGAGGAAACAACAUUUGCAAAUUUCAGUUCCUUCCCCAUUGAAUUCAAUAAUAACAGCAGCCACCAACACAAACUCAUGCAAGGUAUAUACUAUCUCAGUACUCUUCAUGCUACAUGAUUCACACCAAUAAGCAUAUCUUCAGAUUUAAUUAUUUAGAGUAAAGCAUGAAGUGAAUGGCAUAACACUAGAAUUUUUAUGUGAGACAAGUACCUUAAGUUCAGUUUAGCAGAUUGACUCUUGAACACAAACACCCAAUACAGCAAUAUCAUUUAUGAGAAUCAUAGAAUACUAGUUUCCAAGAGAUUUACUUUCACACCGAACUUAGAAUUUUAAGGGGAAUGGGGGUAUUUUACUGUACCUGAUUCAAUAAAUCGAGAAGGGGGCGACUUGUCUGUUCCGUUGAACCAGAGGGCAGACGGCGGUGACUCUCUCGCCUGCGCUAAGAGGACUGAGGGUUUGGCUUUUUCCUCGUUCGUGUACGCGAGUGAAAGGGGGGAGCAGCAGCAGCGCCGCCUGCCCUAAUUAACCGCCCACCGGAGGAGCGAGGAAGGAGACGCUGACUCCAGGCGCGACGGCGCAGUGAGCGUUCGCAGGCAAGUGCGAGCGGACUCCGCUGUUUCGCCGGAGAGAGAGAGAGCCGCGGCGGUGGGUUCCGGCUGAUGGGAGAGAGAGUCGGAGUAUUUGUGUGUGUUCUGAUGAGGGAGAUCGAGGAAGAUGGAGGCGGCAGCCUUCCAGCCUUGAAUUCGCCGGAAGGCAGACUGCGGCGGCCGAGCUUUGAGAGAGUUUUUGGUCUGAACCGAGAGAGGCGCGAGGGAGAGAUGAGCUGUGUGUGUGUGUGCGUGUGUUUCUUUGAAGAGAGAGAAAGAGAUCUGAAAUUGUGAGGGAGAAGAGAGAGGGAUAAGAAACGUAGAGAGAGAGAGAGAGAUAAAUGGGCUUAAAUUUGGGCCUCCACUUUGGGCCAAAGUUUUAAAACAAACUAAAAUUGGGCUUUUGUAUGGGCCGAUUUUAUUGGUUUUAUUUUCUGUUGGGCCGAAAAUAUAGAAGGAAAGUGAAUGGGCUUAAGUCAGUUUGAGCUUGAGUUUUGGGGCUAUUUUUGUUGGGCUUGUUUAAAUGAUUUUAAUUAGUCUGGACUGAUUUUUUUUUAUAAACUGGGCUGCGUUUUAUUUAAUUGUUCGGGCUCUGAAUUAUUUUAUUGAGCCAAUAAAUUUAUUAGAUUUCACACUUUAUAAUUAGUUUAAUUAAUUUAUUUCAAAGACUAGUUUUCAUAAUAAUAUUAAAUUAUUAUUAUUAUGUGCAUAUUUUAAGUAAUUUCUUAUUAUAUGCCAAGCAUGACAUGAAAUUGCAUUAUAUUUUUGCAAUAAGAGUAUUUAAGAUUUAAUUGGUUUUAUUUAUAAUUCCAAUUAUUAAAGAAAGAUGAGUAAGAAUAUUGUUGGUGUUCUUAACUCAAGAGAAAUGAUUUCAAUUAUUUAUUCAUUAAAUUUUGAAAACCGACUAAGUGAAUCAUAGAAUGUUAAGCACUACACCAUGACUUAAGAUUAGAUUCAAGGAGACCUAUUAAGAAUAGAAUUUCUUGUAGGCUUUGUGACCAGGGGGACUAGCGCUGCUUUCCCAAGACAGGUUUUUAUGUGUAUGAUCUUCAGGCUUUGCCUAUCCAGGUGGGCAUUACUUUUACUAUACGUAUAUAGAGAUCCCCUGCGUGUCGUAGGCCUCUUAUACGAAUGAAUGCAUGAGAUGAUUUAACUGUUAAUUUCAGUUUUAUAUAUCUAUCAAAUGAGUUUAAUGUUACAUUUGAGCAAGUUAUUUCGUUACAAAAUAUUUGAGUUAAAGUUAUUUCAAGUAUUGUCUUGCCAUAAAAUGUUUAAAUUUUAGUAUGAUAUCUAUCUGCUUUGGCUUUGCCAAUGAUGCAAUCGAAUUCGGGUCCUGAGCAGUUGAUAGCUAUCCUGCCAGGGCUAGUGUACACCAGUGACCGUGAGUCAUCUAGCGGGUUGGCCGGUCAAGUGACCGUGAGAGGUGGCCACCUCUCCGGCACAAAGUUCCAGAUAUGAUAGAUUACAAGAGAACUUAGUCUGCAGACGAACUUUAAGAAUCACAAAUGAAUUUAGUAAGCUUGGGCCUUUUUAGCGAAAAACUCCCUUGCUGUACUGUUUAUAAUGGCAUGACAAUUUACAGUUUUGAAGCAUGUAUUUUUAUACCUAGGCAUACGUGCCCACUGAGUGCUUUUGUACUCAGCCCUGCAUAUGUUUUCUAAAUGUGCAGGUUGAGCUGAUGUGAUGAUGGUGCUGCAAUGAGCGGAGUCUCCAGGGUUGUUAAUAAAUAGUUAACCUGUCUAGAAUAUGUCUUCAUACAUAUGUCUAGCUACUUUUCGCUGCAAGAUGUUGUUGAUGUUAUAGUAUGUUAUGUCAUACUUUGAGUCUUAAGAGAAUGGUUUCAUAUGAUGUAUAACUUGAUUAAUGAUAUUAAUUAAGUUUUAUGCUGUCUUUCAUAGA